GACCCGUCUUGAAACACGGACCAAGGAGUCUAACACGUAUGCGAGUAGUAAGGUGGCAAACCUUGGAUGCGAAAUGAAAGUGAACGUAGGUGGGAUCCUCUCACGAGGUGCACCAUCGACCGACCAGGAUCUAUUGUGAAAGGUUUGAGUAAGAGCAUAUUUGUUGGGACCCGAAAGAUGGUGAACUAUGCCUGAAUAGGGUGAAGCCAGAGGAAACUCUGGUGGAGGCUCGUAGCGGUACUGACGUGCAAAUCGUUCGUCAAAUUUGGGUAUAGGGGCGAAAGACUAAUCGAACCAUCUAGUAGCUGGUUCCCUCCGAAGUUUCCCUCAGGAUAGCUGGAGCUCGCACAAGUUUUAUCGGGUAAAGCGAAUGAUUAGAGGCCUCGGGGGUGUAACAUCCUCGACCUAUUCUCAAACUUUAAAUAGGUAAGACGUCCUUGCCACUUAAUUGGGCAUGGGCAGUGAAUUGGAGCUCCAAGUGGGCCAUUUUUGGUAAGCAGAACUGGCGAUGCGGGAUGAACCGAAAGUGCUGUUAAGGGGUUUAACUGCCGGCUCAUGUAGACCCCACAAAGGGUGUUGGUUCAUAUAAACAGCAGGACGGUGGCCAUGGAAGUCGGAAUCCGCUAAGGAGUGUGU
rnacentral:rRNA from 1 species